rnacentral:ncRNA from 1 species
CCGCGGGGACGACCCGCGUCUUCGAUGACCAUUUCCGGGACGGCCCGG